CUCUAUGGAAUCCAAAUCAAAUGAUUGCGGAUCCUCAUAGGAAUCUGUAUCGAAUUAAAGAAGGCUGCAAAGGUGGAGAAGGAUCUAGGAUUUAGGAGCGGCACUAUAGAAGCCGUGAGCAACAAAAACACAUGCAGAAGGGGUAUGAUAGAAGAGGCAGAGCUUGAUCACAAAGACAAUGGAACCAAUGAUAAGAAGAAUAAGACAGGGGC
rnacentral:lncRNA from 1 species